UACGAAGGGGGCUAGCGUUGUUCGGAAUUACUGGGCGUAAAGCGCGUGUAGGCGGGUCUUUAAGUCAGGGGUGAAAUGCCAAGGCUCAACCUUGGAACUGCCUUUGAUACUGGAGAUCUUGAGUCCGGGAGAGGUGAGUGGAACUGCGAGUGUAGAGGUGAAAUUCGUAGAUAUUCGGCAAGAACACCAGUGGCGAAGGCGGCUCACUGGCCCGAUACUGACGCU
rnacentral:rRNA from 1 species